rnacentral:lncRNA from 1 species
GUUCUUCAUAUCAAAUUUCUUUUAGACUGAAAUACAUAUUUAACGUUUUGUUAGGGCUUGUUGGCUAAUUUGGUUAAAUUUGCUCGCAGCUCGCAUCAGAUUAUAGGUCCACUCGGGGCUCGCAACUGAUCAAUCCAGAUCACUCGCAGCUACACCUAGGAAUUUGAUGCAAGUUUUCCAACCUGGGAAGUAAACAAUUAAGCAUGUUGUGCAAUGAGACUUUAUCUGUUGCUUUUGCUUUGUUUCUGCUUUUAUCCUGCUAAGAGUGGACAAUAGAUAUAUAGACGUCGAAUAAAGGUCUUUCAAUUUUAUGUGAAUUAAGCUAACUAUUGUCAAGUGUAUAACUAAAAUAUUUGGGUGUUGCAUCAUGUGUCGAAGGCCAAUUUACCCUACACAACUUUUGCUCAAAGCCUGGUUUCCAUAUGGUCGUAACGGUCUUAAAGAUUGAGUCACGAUUUUUUUCAACACCUGAAAUACAACUGAAAAUAGGCGGAGUGAUAAUAUAU